ACACCAGUCUUGGACAUUUGGCUAAGAUCAAAUUGUAAUAUCUGUUCUUAUUAGUUUAAUAUUUUAAUAUAUUUUACUAGGUUUAGUAAGAUCAUUACAAUAGUGUUAAUGAAUGGUUUUGAUGUACAAAGUUAUGGCAUCUAUUACCACCAACAUGCUGAAAACUCUCCACCAGUGUCCAUAUGUCACCUCU